GGAGAUGAGAGAUGAGAAACUAGCAACACUGGUUACCAUGACUCAGGCUUUGUGCCGUGGAUACGUCAUGAGGAAGGAGUUUGUCAAAAUGAUGGAGAGGAGAGAAGCAAUUUAUUCCAUCCAAUACAACAUCCGCUCAUUCAUGAAUGUCAAACAUUGGCCAUGGAUGAAGCUCUACUUCAAGAUCAAGCCUCUUCUGAAGAGUGCAGAGACGGA